rnacentral:rRNA from 1 species
UGACAGAAUGCUUAACACAUGCAAGUCGACUCGAGUCUUCGGACUUGGGUGGCGCACGGGUGAGUAACGCGUAAAGAACUUGCCUCUUAGACCGGGACAACAUCUGGAAACGGAUGCUAAUACCGGAUAUUAUGGUUUUUUCGCAUGGAGGAAUCAUGAAAGCUAGAUGCGCUAAGAGAGAGCUUUGCGUCCCAUUAGCUAGUUGGUGAGGUAACGGCCCACCAAGGCAAUGAUGGGUAGCCGGCCUGAGAGGGUGAACGGCCACAAGGGGACUGAGACACGGCCCUUACUCCUACGGGAGGCAGCAGUGGGGAAUAUUGGACAAUGGACCACAAGUCUGAUCCAGCAAUUCUGUGUGCACGAUGACGUUUUUCGGAAUGUAAAGUGCUUUCAGUCGGGAAGAAGUCAGUGACGGUACCGACAGAAGAAGCGACGGCUAAAUACGUGCCAGCAGCCGCGGUAAUACGUAUGUCGCAAGCGUUAUCCGGAUUUAUUGGGCGUAAAGCGCGUCUAGGCGGCAAGGAAAGUCUGAUGUGAAAAUGCGGAGCUCAACUCCGUAUGGCGUUGGAAACUGCCUUACUAGAGUACUGGAGAGGUAGGCGGAACUACAAGUGUAGAGGUGAAAUUCGUAGAUAUUUGUAGGAAUGCCGAUGGGGAAGCCAGCCUACUGGACAGAUACUGACGCUAAAGCGCGAAAGCGUGGGUAGCAAACAGG